rnacentral:lncRNA from 1 species
AUGGUCACAGUCCGGCUGCACCCCCAUCAGUCCCCACCACACACCAGCAGCCAUCUGGCUGCAGCAGGCUCAUCCUGCUGGGAGCGGUCCCACCUGCUGGUUGGCCGCUCCCCGCACUCGGGAAGACCUUCCCAUUUCCCUUGGGCUCCCUACCUGUGCACGGCGGCUCCCAGAGGCUUGUGCUGGGUGGGGCAGUGGUGGCAGUUGGAUCCCACGGACAGCCAAAUCCUGGCUCUGUCUGCCUGGCAGCACAGCUUGCUGCGGCCUGCGGCCCACCUGUGUAGGGAGAAGGAGGCCUGGGUUGCAGGUGGCUGCAUUACCACCAGCGUCCCUGGCAAAGCCCCCAUGAGGAGGCUGUUCCCGGACACAGACAGCCCUGCUGAGCUGGGUCCUACUGCUCUCUGCCUCGGGGCACAGAGCUGUCCUGGGAGUCGGCUGGUGCCCAGAAAACGCCCCGGGGCAGGAGGAGCGGUGCCCUGGCCACAGGUGCUCAGGGCCCGCCAUGGCACCCCACCCGCUGCUGUGCCCCCUGCCUCGGUGUUUAGGUUGCCCUGGCAUCCCUCUCCCUCCCAGCACAUCCCGCACCUGGCGCUGUUCCCGCACGCUCGGCAGUCCUUUCUCGGCCUGGGAGUGGGCCUUCUGGUCCUGCUCCUUCGCCAUCUCUGUAUCCGCUCACGGAGACAAAGCUACAAGCACCCAGGGAAGCUACCUCCUCACGGAGCUACUCGCCUGAGAGUGAGCAGCACUGGGACUCUGGUUCCUAAAGGCACCAGGACACCACCAUGUCACAAUGGCCUUUGUGUGCGGCUGCCCGUGCAUCACAAAGUCCUGGUAGUUGCCAUGGAGACCCCACACGCCCUCCUGCAGCCCCCCACAUGUCAGCAUCUCCAUGGCUCCCUUCUCACACUAUCACAGAAUCUCUGGGGUUGGAAGGGACCUCUGCAGACCACUGGAUCCAAGCCUUCUGCCAAAGCUGUGUGGUGCCAUCGGCAAACUUGCCGAGAGUGCACUGAAUGCCACCAUUUAUGUGACUGA